GAUGAACGCUGGCGGCGUGCCUAAUACAUGCAAGUCGAGCGAACAGACGAGGAGCUUGCUCCUCUGACGUUAGCGGCGGACGGGUGAGUAACACGUGGAUAACCUACCUAUAAGACUGGGAUAACUUCGGGAAACCGGAGCUAAUACCGGAUAAUAUAUUGAACCGCAUGGUUCAAUAGUGAAAGACGGUUUUGCUGUCACUUAUAGAUGGAUCCGCGCCGCAUUAGCUAGUUGGUAAGGUAACGGCUUACCAAGGCAACGAUGCGUAGCCGACCUGAGAGGGUGAUCGGCCACACUGGAACUGAGACACGGUCCAGACUCCUACGGGAGGCAGCAGUAGGGAAUCUUCCGCAAUGGGCGAAAGCCUGACGGAGCCACGCCGCGUGAGUGAUGAAGGUCUUCGGAUCGUAAAACUCUGUUAUUAGGGAAGAACAAAUGUGUGAGUAACUAUGCACGUCUUGACGGUACCUAAUCAGAAAGCCACGGCUAACUACGUG
rnacentral:rRNA from 1 species